rnacentral:rRNA from 1 species
CCUACGGGUGGCAGCAGUGGGGAAUAUUGCACAAUGGGGGAAACCCUGAUGCAGCAACGCCGCGUGAGUGAAGAAGUCAUUCGUGAUGUAAAGCUCUAUCAGCAGGGAAGAAAAUGACGGUACCUGACUACGAAGCCCCGGCUAACUACGUGCCAGCAGCCGCGGUAAUACGUAGGGGGCAAGCGUUAUCCGGAUUUACUGGGUGUAACGGGAGCGUAGACGGCGACGCAAGUCUGAAGUGAAAUGCCAGGGCUCAACACUGGAACUGCUUUGGAAACUGGGUGGCUAGAGUGCAGGAGAGGUAAGUGGAAUUCCUAGUGUAGCGGUGAAAUGCGUAGAUAUUAGGAGGAACACCAGUGGCGAAGGCGGCUUACUGGACUGUAACUGACGUUGAGGCUCGAAGGCGUGGGGAGCAAACAGGAUUAGAUACCCCUGUAGUC